AACUAUUAACAAUGGAUCUCUUGUCUCGUGCAUUGAUGACGAACGCAGCCAGCUGCAAUAAUACGUAGUGACCGUAGUGUGAAUUACAGAAUUCAGCCUACCAUCUGUUGGAUUACGAUUGAACGCCUCUAAAUCAGAAUUC